rnacentral:rRNA from 1 species
CCUACGGGCGGCAGCAGUGAGGAAUAUUGGUCAAUGGACGAGAGUCUGAACCAGCCAAGUAGCGUGAAGGAUGACUGCCCUAUGGGUUGUAAACUUCUUUUAUAUGGGAAUAAAAUGUUCCACGUGUGGGAUUUUGUAUGUACCAUAUGAAUAAGGAUCGGCUAACUCCGUGCCAGCAGCCGCGGUAAUACGGAGGAUCCGAGCGUUAUCCGGAUUUAUUGGGUUUAAAGGGAGCGUAGGUGGAUUGUUAAGUCAAUUGUGAAAGUUUGCGGCUCAACCGUAAAAUUGCAGUUGAAACUGGCAGUCUUGAGUACAGUAGAGGUGGGCGGAAUUCGUGGUGUAGCGGUGAAAUGCUUAGAUAUCACGAAGAACUCCGAUUGCGAAGGCAGUUCACUGGACUGCAACUGACACUGAGGCUCGAAAGUGUGGGUAUCAAACAGGAUUAGAUACCCCUGUAGUC